rnacentral:rRNA from 1 species
UGCCUCACUGAGGUUGCUACUUUCCAGAUGCCUUGUUCUCUAAGAAGGCUUUUUGCGACUAUUUUAGUGUUCCGCGAGGCGAUUAACAUCAGAGAAUGUUGGGUGAAACGUCUAGAGUCAAUGCUCGAGGAUUGCUGUCGUAGCCAUCCCAACCAGACCACAUUGAAACUGAUGGUGCUUAGAUACAUCCAACAUAUUGCUCACUAGAUGGGGAAGGAUAUCAAAACUUAUGGCCUUCCCGAGGUGGUGGAAAUAGGUGGUGAUUGUUCUAGCGACCACUUGAGAGAGGUAUGGAAGGAGCUGUCAUUCGGUGUUGACUACGAGCCUCUUGAUAUGUUUACAUCUUUGAACAUCGAGCAACAUGCUGGAUUUGAUGAAAUAUAGGAUCACGUGGUCAAUAAUAGGAGCCAAAUUUUCUCGACGGUCUAA